rnacentral:rRNA from 1 species
AUUGAACGCUGGCGGCAGUCCUAACACAUGCAAGUCGAGCGGAGCGGCCGACGGGUGAGUAAUGCCUAGGAAUCUGCCUGGUAGUGGGGGAUAACGUCCGGCAACGGGCGCUAAUACCGCAUACUAUCAGAUGAGCCUAGGUCGGUUUAGCUAGUUGGUGGGGUAAAGGCCUACCCAGGCGACGAUCCGUAACUGGUCUGACAGGAUGAUCAGUCACACUGGAACGUAGACACGGUCCAGACGCCUACGGGAGGCAGCAGUGGGGAAUAGUGGACAAUGGGCGAAAGCCUGAUCCAGCCAGGCCGCGUGUGUGAAGAAGGUCUUAGGAUUGGAAAGCACUUGAAGUUGGGAGGCGUUACCAACAGAAUAAGCACAGGCUAACUUCGUGCCAGCAGCCGCGGUAAUAC